rnacentral:rRNA from 1 species
UGCGUGACCAACCUGCCCCAUGCUCCAGAAUAGCUCUUGGAAACGGGUGGUAAUGCUGGAUGCUCCAACUUGACGCAUGUCUUGUUGGGAAAGNGUUUAGUGGCAUGGGAUGGGGUCGCGUCCUAUCAGCUUGUAGGCGGGGUAAUGGCCCACCUAGGCUUCGACGGGUAGCCGGCCUGAGAGGGCGGACGGCCACAUUGGGACUGAGAUACGGCCCAGACUCCUACGGGAGGCAGCAGAG